GAUGAACGCUAGCGGCAGGCCUAACACAUGCAAGUCGAGGGGUAGAGGAAGCUUGCUUCCUUGAGACCGGCGCACGGGUGCGUAACGCGUAUGCAAUCUACCUUUUACAGAGGGAUAGCCCAGAGAAAUUUGGAUUAAUACCUCAUAGUAUAUAUCAUUCGCAUGUUUGGUAUAUUAAAGUUCCAACGGUAAAAGAUGAGCAUGCGUCCCAUUAGUUAGUUGGUAAGGUAACGGCUUACCAAGACGAUGAUGGGUAGGGGUCCUGAGAGGGGGAUCCCCCACCCUGGUACUGAGACACGGACCAGACUCCUACGGGAGGCAGCAGUGAGGAAUAUUGGUCAAUGGACGCAAGUCUGAACCAGCCAUGCCGCGUGCAGGAAGACGGUCCUAUGGAUUGUAAACUGCUUUUGUACGGGAAGAAACACUCCUACGUGUAGGAGCCUGACGGUACCGUAAGAAUAAGGAUCGGCUAACUCCGUGCCAGCCGCCGCAGUAAUAC
rnacentral:rRNA from 1 species